UAUGUGAUCUCAGAAAAAGUAUUCAGAAACCAACAGAUCUACAGAAAAUUUUCUUUGACCUUGCACAUUUCUCUCAUUCCUUCCUUCCAGAGCACAAUCCUUCCCACUCCUUUGCAGUUUCCCAGAUCUCGAGACUCGAGUCUUUGAAUAACAAGAACAAAGUGGGCUUUGUACACUUGCUGGUGCCAUUUGUGGCAGAGAAGGACUUUCUCGGAUUGCUUUGGGAUGAUGAAGAGCGUGUCUCUCAUCCAAAAACUGAAAUGAUACCUUCAGGUGAGUCCGGAGUCCAAAUCCUCAAAGGAGAGAUUUAGGAAAGCAUGUGAGAGGAUCAGGUUUAAACCAAAUAAUCCCUGAAGAAGAAAUUCCAUUCAGGUUCUUUCUUUAAAACAGGAAAUUAAACAGAGUCAUUAUAAGGCAAACUCAAGAGAGUGGUAGCACCAUCCCUCCCUACUGUUAGUUGCAUGAAUUUCAUUUUGGGUCAUCUGUGAAUUGAAAACGUGAUUUAAAUUCGAUCCUGGUGACCAUAGCUCAUUGCACAUACAAUGAUCAGAAU
rnacentral:lncRNA from 1 species